CCGCCGGCGACCGGCGCACGGGUGAGUAACACGUAUGCAACCUGGCCGUGACAGAUGGAUAACCGGGAGAAAUCCCGCCUAAUACAACAUAAUGCCGGGAGGGGACAUCCCCUGCCGGCCAAAGGGGCGACCCCGGUCACGGAUGGGCAUGCGGCGCAUUGGUAGUUGGUGGGGCAACGGCCCACCAAGCCGACGAUGCGUAGGGGUUCUGAGAGGAAGGUCCCCCACAUUGGAACUGAGACACGGUCCAAACUCCUACGGGAGGCAGCAG
rnacentral:rRNA from 1 species